rnacentral:rRNA from 1 species
UAUCGCCCGAUUCCCCUUGAGUUGAUCUGGCUCAGAAUCACGCUGGCGGCGUGCCUAACACAUGCAAGUCGAACGCGAAAGGGGCUUCGGCCCUGAGUAGAGUGGCGAACGGGUGAGUAACACGUGGGUGAUCUACCUCUGAGUGGGGGAUAACGUUCCGAAAGGAGCGCUAAGACCGCAUGACGUUCCGGGUUUGAAGACCUGGAAACCAAAGCCGGGGACCGCAAGGCCUGGCGCUUGGAGAGGAGCCCGCGCCUGAUUAGCUAGUUGGUGGGGUAAUGGCUCACCAAGGCGACGAUCAGUAGCCGGCCUGAGAGGGCGGACGGCCACACUGGGACUGAGACACGGCCCAGACUCCUACGGGAGGCAGCAGUGGGGAAUUGUUCGCAAUGGGCGCAAGCCUGACGACGCAACGCCGCGUGGAGGAUGAAGGUCUUCGGAUUGUAAACUCCUGUUGAUCGGAAAGAACAGGCUUCGACCUAACACGUCGGAGCACUGACGGUACCGGUUGAGGAAGCCACGGCUAACUCUGUGCCAGCAGCCGCGGUAAUACAGAGGUGGCAAGCGUUGUUCGGAAUUACUGGGCGUAAAGGGCGCGUAGGCGGCCUUCUAAGUCAGACGUGAAAUCCCCAGGCUUAACUUGGGAACUGCGUCUGAUACUGGAGGGCUCGAGUGCGGGAGAGGGAUGUGGAAUUCCAGGUGUAGCGGUGAAAUGCGUAA